GGCUAAAUGAGAGUCCGACUGUCUCUUAUAACAAAUCAAUUAAACUGAUCUCCCAGUACAAAAGCUGGUAUGUCACCAUAAGACCAGAAGACCCUGUGAAGCUUUAACUAACUUAUUAAACCUGAUAAUAACUAAUUUCGGUUGGGGCGACCUUGGAACAAAAAAGAACUUCCAUAUAUAUGACCUCCUCAUACAAUAAGGCAAACAAGCCACAUUAGACCCAGUAUAUCUGAUAAAUGAACUAAGUUACUCCAGGGAUAACAGCGCUAUCUUCUUCAAGAGCCCAUAUCAAAAAGAAGGUUUACGACCUCGAUGUUGGAUCAGGACAUCCUAGCAAUGCAACCGUUUCUAAGGGUUCGUUUGUUCAACGAUUAAUAGUCCUACGUGA
rnacentral:rRNA from 1 species